AGUGUGGUGGCCGAGCGGUUAAGGCGUUGGACUUAAGUUCCAAUGGACAUUAGUCCUCGUGGGUUCAAAUCCCACGCGCACUA
rnacentral:tRNA from 1 species